rnacentral:rRNA from 1 species
GACGAACGCUGGCGGCGUGCUUAACACAUGCAAGUCGAGCGGACAGGCCCUGCUUUUGUGCGUUUCUCGAGUGGCGAACGGGUGAGUAACACGUGAGUAACCUCCCCUUGACUUUGUGAUAACUUCAGGAAACUGGGGCUAAUACCGGAUAGGAGCUCCUGCUGCAUAGUGUUGGUUGGAAAGUUUCGGCGGUUCGGGAUGGACUCGCGGCUUAUCAGCUUGUUGGUGGGGUAGUGGCUUACCAAGGCUUUGACGGCUAGCCGGCCUGAGAGGGUGACCGGGCACCAUGGGACUGAGAGACGGAGCAGACGCCUACGGGACGCAGCAGUCGGGAAUAUUGCACAAUGGGCGGAAGCCUGAUGCAGAAACGCCGCGUGCGGGAUGACGGCCUUCGGGUUGUAAACAGCUUUCGAAGGUGACGAAGCGUGAGUGACGGUAAUGGGUAAAGAAGCACCGGCUAACUACGUG